rnacentral:rRNA from 1 species
UACGAGGGGGCGAGCGUUGUUCGGAAUUAUUGGGCGUAAAGGGUGCGUAGGCGGUUUGGUAAGUCUCUUGUGAAAUCUAUGGGCUCAACUCAUAGUCUGCAAGGGAAACUGCCGGGCUUGAGUGUGGGAGAGGUGAGUGGAAUUUCCGGUGUAGCGGUGAAAUGCGUAGAUAUCGGAAGGAACACCUGUGGCGAAAGCGGCUCACUGGACCACAACUGACGCUGAUGCACGAAAGCUAGGGGAGCAAACAGG